rnacentral:rRNA from 1 species
GAGUAAUACUUAGGAAUCUACCUAGUAGUGGGGGAUAGCACGGGGAAACUCGUAUUAAUACCGCAUACGACCUACGGGAGAAAGGGGGCAGUUUACUGCUCUCGCUAUUAGAUGAGCCUAAGUCGGAUUAGCUAGAUGGUGGGGUAAAGGCCUACCAUGGCGACGAUCUGUAGCUGGUCUGAGAGGAUGAUCAGCCACACCGGGACUGAGACACGGCCCGGACUCCUACGGGAGGCAGCAGUGGGGAAUAUUGGACAAUGGGGGAAACCCUGAUCCAGCCAUGCCGCGUGUGUGAAGAAGGCCUUUUGGUUGUAAAGCACUUUAAGCAGUGAAGAAGACUCCGUGGUUAAUACCCACGGACGAUGACAUUAGCUGCAGAAUAAGCACCGGCUAACUCUGUGCCAGCAGCCGCGGUAAUACAGAGGGUGCAAGCGUUAAUCGGGAAUUACUGGGCGUAAAGGGAGCGUAGGUGGCUCUAUAAGUCAGAUGUGAAAUCCCCGGGCUCAACCUGGGAACUGCAUCUGAAACUGUAGAGCUAGAGUAUGUGAGAAG